GACCUGCACCAAGGCCGCCAGCGCGAAGAAGGCGGCCAUGAGUCCGUUGCAGGCCCGCCACAGCGCUGGCGCCAUGGCUCGGAGAACACGGCGCGGGGCGGUGAGUCCUGCCACGUGCGGGGCGGUGUGGUCAGCUACUCCGGAAUGUGGCAGGGGUGGAGGCCGGACAAAGUCUGAAACAGGGUCAUCACCAUAGCACCUGACAUACCUGGAUAUAAACAAUAUCCAAGGCCCCUAAGGUAAAAGCCUUGCUCCAAGUCCCCUUCUGACUUCUAGUCACUUCCGUGCUGCCAGCAGAGGGCGUGGGAUUCUUCCUGAGGAGCCUGAGUCUCAGCUUUGCCAGGUCCUUGCUGUGUGACCUUGGGCACCUGUGCUCCCUUGACAAAGAGGAAUAAAACCUCUUCAGACUACUCUCCUAUCGAUUCUCUCCUGGAACAUAUGACCACCAUCAAUUAUAGGCAAGAACAUGAACACGGGAGUCCCAAAGACUUGGGUUCAAAUGUCAGCCCCUUCACUCGCUGGCUGUAGGUGUGAGGCCCUGGGUAAGGUCCUUACCUCCC
rnacentral:lncRNA from 1 species